CUCUCUCUGUUAAAAAAUAAAUAAAAUCUUUAAAAAAAAAAAAAAAAGAAUAAAGCAAACAGCUAUGCAGAUUAAGUGCACCAGCUAUCAAGAUUAAGAUAACAUUAUCAGUGAAAGGCCUUUGCAUGCCCCUUCCUGAUCACACACCCUCACUCUCCAUAAUAGUAACCAUUCUGAUUUCUGUGAUAGUUUUUCAUUUGUUUUUCUUAGUUUUCCCAACUGUGUGUGUACCUCUACUCAAAAGACUGUUUUGCCUGUUUCUGAAUUUAUAUACACAUUAUUUCAUUAUAUAUUUUCUAACUUCAUUCAGUAUUAUAUUUUCGAUGUUCAUUCAUGUUAGUCUCAAAAUUCAUUUUUUUUACUGACUAGUAUUCCACUGUAUGAAUAUACUGAAUAUUCAGUAAUUCUUUUUUUAUAGAUAUUUGUGGUGUUCAUAGUUUUUUGUUGUUUACUUUUGCUAUCAGAAGCAGUAUUGUCAUGAAUACUACUUUACGUGUCUCUUGUAAGUGUACAAGAAUUUCUCUAAGAGUAAUGAUGCUGGGAGAUCGAUUCUGUGUAUGUUCAGCUUCCUUUCCAAAGUGGACCAUCUCCAGCACUAUGAGAGGUUCAUUUUGCAUCCUUGGCAACACUUAAUUUUGUCAGGUUUAUUAAUUCUUGCUAAUCUAAUAGACCUUAGGCAUGAAUUGUAGUUACAGUUUGCAUUUCAGUCCUCUUGCCCAUUAUUAUCAGUUCUUAGGAACUCUUCACAUAUUCUGGAUACCAAUUUUUGUUGGUUAAGUAUCUUUUCCCAGGAUGUGGCUUGUCUUUUCCCAUUCUUGAUGGUACUUUUUCAUUAACAAACAUUAACUCUAAUGUGACUGAUUUUUUUCUUUUAUGUAUUCUACUUUUUAUUAUUGACUUAUGAUCUCAUAUUAAGGAAAGAUAAAGCUAUUGUUCUAUAUUGUCUUCUGAAUACCUCACAUAUAGCUUUGCUUUUCCUAGUUAGGUCUUUAACCCAUCUGGAAGAACUUUUUGUGUAUGACAUGAGUGUUGACUGGAAGUGAUAAUAGUGGACUUCCUGCCCAUGUUUCUGAUUUCAAGGGGAACACUCUCAGUGUUUCAUCAGAGAUUCUGCUUUCUGCAAGAGAAGUGGAGUUCGGUUUCAUCAGGGGUGCCACUGCUAGUACCCAGCUAACACUGCUUCUGAUGAACCAGCAAGCCUGCAGUGGGGCCCUAAGAACAGUUUGAGCAAGUUUCCAACGCUGCUGACACCGCUGUCCAAGAGCCACAACUUGAGAAGCACUGCCUUGGAGGGACUACCCCGUGGGUGAAGGAGAGCACCACAGCUAGCCAGGGCUGAGGGCACCGUCAGCAGUGGAUCCUGGAGCCACCCCUUCCUGAGGCCUCACCUCCACAUCUCCAGGCUCUCCUAGGAGCUUUGGGAAUUAGCAACUAACUGCAGGCUCCUGUGGGAGGAAGCCAGGCGUGCAGAGAGCAACAAGGUUAUAUACAAAAUGGACCCCAACCAGUGAGGCCUCCUCAUCUCAACCCUUAUCAAUCAAGAUUAAAACUCAGUGCAUGUGUGUGCUUCAUCCAGCGUCGGCAGGCUGCAUCCGUGCCUUCAGGCUCUGUUAAGGAGAGUGGUCCUAGAGGGACACUCUACCUGAGUCCAUGUCAUGAACUCAUGGAUCUGUCUGGAGAUCUCCCAAAAUUUCUGAAGAUAACAGAAGACCAACUGGCUGUUCAUUUGUCACCUUAAGCUUGAAAUCCUUGGUUAGGGCAAGGGAUAUAGGUUCUAAUUUCAUUCUGCAUCCCAGCAAGAUGGGACAGUGACCCUACUCAGCUGACUUUGGCCACGGCAGCACCUGAUGCAACAUCAGAGCCAGUAAGUGUCCCUAAGACCACUCUGUCCUGCCCUCUGCCUAGGCCAUCAGGCCGCAGCAGGGUCUGUGCCUCCCCUAUGCAAGACCCAAGAAGGCCCCAUCUGGGACUCCAGGCUGAGGCAGGUAUGCCAGCCACACCCAGCAGUACAUGCCAUGAUCUCUGUUCGGGGCCUGUGUAAGGGUCCCUAACUCCUUCCUACCCCUUACCUGUGUGAGGUAAACACUGGACAACCCCACUUCCUCUACACCUCCCCAAUCACUUUUGUCCUACUUUCUACCCUUCGCCUGCUACCCUUAGCUUCCAUCUGGAAAUCUGCUGCCUCCUCCUCCCCGCUCAGGUCCCUUCUUGCCUAAUGCUUUCCUCAUUCCCAAAGCCCCAGGAGUAGCCCCUUCUCUGUCUCCCUAUUAGGGUCAGUGUUGGGACCAGGGUCCUGGGUAAAUAUAAAUUUCCUGUGGCUCCAAGCCCUAUAACCAGAUCAUCCACCCAGAAGGAUUGAGGCCACCCUUAUACUUCACAAACAGCACACGUAACCCACCCUGGAGCUUUCAGUCCUAAAGGCUUUCUGUAACAGGGCCACUGCCUUGUAGCUCUAGUGGCACAGAUUCUGCCUGCCCUAGGAUAAGGCUGAGGGUCUGUUCUGCCUUGGAUGGGGACAGUCUGGCCCCCUUCCCCUCAGACCACAAGGGGGCUGAGCUCACCUUGAAGUUAACAUGCCCAUUGGGCAGGUGGUUGGUAUGGAUUUUGUGCAAGAAGUAAAUGUCCUUAACGAAAAGGUUGAAUACAGGGAUAACAAUCUUCUCUCGGCUGCUGUUGGCCAUCUGGGACCUUUGUGUGGCCCCCUGCAGGGCGGUGCGGUAGUUGCAGAAGUUGCUGGAUGGGUCCAUGUGGUGCUGUGGGCAGAGAGGAGGACUCGGUGGGCAGUGUUCUCCCUGCACCUGUGACUUGCUCAGAAUGCCCCUUUGCAGAGUGGAAACAGUGAUGGGGAAGGCCCUUCCCCACUGGGCAGCCCUGGACUGUCCUCAGAAGAGGCCUCCUUUCUAGGAGUGAGCACCUGGCUCAGUACAGGGCUUGGGUCCAAGCAUCAUCAGGAGAGUUAAAGAGAAGUCUCACAGCUCACACACACACCCUUCUCCUGCCCUGCUGAGCCUGGGUCUCACCUUUUUCCUUUCAAAACCUUCCUUGCCCCUCUACUUGGACCAACACCUCCCAAACCUGAUGGGCUCCAUGAGACCUUUGCAGAAAGUGGAUUCUGGGAUCAAAUACAUCGGGAAAGGCUGCAAGUGAACCUGCCUGUCCACUCCUGGGCCACCCAGAUGAUCCAGGACCACAGGAAUUCAAGCCAGGAAAAGGCCAGUUGGCUUAGUCAGCAUCGCCCAGCACAGGGCUCACAGGCCCACUUUUGUCAAACUGUUUCCUAAGCACUCUCCAGAACUUGCUUUAGGCAAUGCCAGUUCUGACUAAAGUUCCAAAGGCUGAAGAGGGCUUCAGCUACCCACCUAGAGCAGCCAGGCCAGCUCAACGUGCCCUAUACCAGAUGGCACUGUGUGCAGUGGGUUCUGAGCAAGGGGGCAGAGCACGAUGGGAGGCCCAUCCCUCCUCAGGCCAAUGUAGGACAAGGCUGAGGUGCCUACCUCCAAGACGUCAAACUUGGCCGUCUUGACUUUGGACCACGUUUUCUUCAGCCUCGCCACAGGACUGAGGUUCAUGCCAGCUGCAGGGAACAGCAGGUAGGGUCAGGGCAGGGGUAGACAAGCCAUGCAGAAGCUGGACAGGAAGCCCCUGGGGCCUGGACACUCACAGAUGAUGGCCAUCAUGGAGUUGAAAUUCCCGAUGUUGAAGCACUCCCGGGCCACAUCAAUAAAGAACUCUAGCAUGCGG